rnacentral:lncRNA from 1 species
UUUUUUUUCUGUGCGCAGAUUAGGUACUUCUCUUUUGAUCACCGAUUCAACAUCCAACAACGAUCCCGAACUCAAAUGUGGUGAUGUUUAUCUUUUGUGUCGGCAUGUAGCUAGGACAUCUAAAUGAUAGUUAUUUUGUGGAUGGAUUAUAAAUGUAAUGCUCGUUUGGUAUAUACAUAUAAACAUGUGUUUGUGUUUGAAGCCAUAUUAUGGCAUGGUAAAUUGAACCAAAUCUAGAUAUGUGCAUGUGAAUUUAAGUUAAUGUUUUAGGUGGUUUUGAGUUAGGCCAAAUUGAUGAAUUUUGACAUGAUUUUAAUUUGGUUGAUGUUUUGAUGAUAUAAAUGUGGUACUAAUGAGGGUACAUUGGUUAGGCCCCUAGGAUGAUUAUUUUGGCAUGUUUUCAAUGUGUUUGAUCGUGUUUUGAACAGGUUAAACGAAUGGUUUUUGAGUUGUUUAAUGUCCAAGCUUGUUGGAAAUGGUAAAUUUGUUGUUUAAGGCACAUUUUAGGUCCACACGAUUAGAGACAUGGGUGUGUGACUUGGCCUUGUGAGACAUACGGCUAGAAAACGGGCGUGUGAGACCAUUUCAAAGGGUACACAGCCUGGCACACGGGCGUGUGGCUUGGCCGUGUGACCCAAGUCAGAGAGUUACACGGGCACAGACACGGGCUGGGACACGGCCGUGUGUCCCUACUUCAAAUGCCCACACAGCCAGACACAUGGGCGUGUGACUUGGCCGUCUGAGUCACACGGCCUAACCACACGGCCGUUGAACUCUGCAGUUAAAAUUUUUCUAACUUUUUCCUAAAAUUUUUAAAUGUUCUCGAUUUAGUCUCAAAUCAUUUCUAAAGUGAUUUCAAACCCUGAAAGGCCUUAAUAAGGGACUCUAUGCAUGUUAAUGAUGAAUCAUUGUAUUAUUUUUGAAAUGCUUGAAAUGAAUGUUUAGAUUACGAUUACUCAGUAACGCUCUGAAACCUUAUUUCAGCUACAAAUACAGGUUAGAGGUGUUAUCAAUGUUUUCUGGUGUUUGGAUUAACCUGUGUAAAAUAUUUUCUGUUGCUUGACAGAUUUUUUGAAAAUAUUUCAUAAAAUUUGUUUUGAAUGAAAUAAACAUACAUUUGAAAUAAAAGGGCAAUUUUAUGUUGACGGGAAAAUAUCUUACGUUGGUCAUCCUAUUUUACAUGAAACAAACAUCAGAAAAGGCUAAAAAUAUUUUCCAUAAAAACUUUUACGUUGAAACAAACAAAGUUAAUUUAGUAUUAUAAUAGUUAAUUUAGUAAGUUUAAGUAUAGAUCCUUUGUGACGCCUCGUACCCGAAUCUAAAGGACAGGUCGGGCUUGGGGUGUUACAUCUUUCCUUUUUCCUCUUAUUUUCUCUCAUUAUUGCACCUUAUUUUUUUCUUUGUGCUAUUAAUUAUUUUUCUUCCUCAUAUCAAAUUGAGCUCCUAUUCGUUCAAUUUUUAUCGUUAUUUAGAAUUGCAUCAAUAACACCUGUUACAUUUCCUAAGAAUUGGUAAGUACACUUUGUUUCAACAAUUAGAUUUCAUAAUCCUAUUGUACGAAUAUCCAACGUUAAUAUUUAGGUUUGAUUAAUCAACAUUUUGUGAUUCUUGCCAAAUCUUUUGGCUAUCUUGUCGAAAUCUUAACACCAAUUGUUAAUUCGUGUGUAAAUGUCAUUUGAAAGACUGGAUCUAGGUGAAUCGGACCAAAAAUCGAAAGUAAGAAGCGUCACACAGACAUGUGGUGAAAGGUGUGUGUCUUUUCUAAGUGAAUCGGUGAUGAUCAUGUGUAGGUUUAGGGCUACACGGUCUCCCACACAGGUGUGUUAACCAUAUAGGUAGACCACACGGCCACCACACAACCAUGUACACUUGUAGAAAUUAGGGACUUUGUGAACUACAUAGCCUCAGCCUGUUACACGACUUUCCACAUGGUUGUGUCUCUCCUGUAGGGUAAUCUAUCAUUUUCCACAUGACAUCAAGUUGUUAUACGGUCUAGCUACACGACCGUGUAACCUUUCCACACGGUCACGAGACCUUCACAUGGCCUGACGAUAUGGCCAUGUGACUAUUAUUUUAUAGUUUUGCCCAUAAAUUUAUGAUAUGUUUAGUUUAGUCAUUGUAUAUCCCCUAAAUUAUUUUUAGAGUUUUUAUUCUCUCAAUUAAGCCUGUGAUAUUGUGUUUAUUAUGAAAUCUCUGCUUUAAUGACUAAAUUGCUAUUGUUAUAUUGUAUGAGUGGUAAAUACUACAUGCUUAUUGUCACUGUGAUACUGAAAAACUAUGAGUGUUAAUAUUGUUACCACCGUACUUAGUACAUGUUAAGCAUGUCUACUGUUUUUGCAUCAUUGUGCUAUAAAGCAUAUCAUGUUGCAUUGCAUGGGGUGGGAUGAUAUGUACGGAGGAAGAUUUUCAGUUAAUUAAUUUGAAAACAAGUGGUGGCUUGUCCACAAACCAAGUGACAGUUUAUCUGUAAAUGUUUUUAUCUGAAAAUACUGGUGGUUUACCCACAAAUUUUACAACAAAGUGACAGUUUAUCUGCAAAUCAGUAGUGGUUUAUCCACAACUCGGUGUGUAUGGAUGAAUGAGUUAUGGGGAAUUCUUAAUGUGGUGUGUAGCAGUUGGGUAGGAUAAACUGAAAUUGCAUUGUCACGCAUAAGCAUGUGCAUACAAAAACUGUGAAUUCUAAACAGUUAUAUAAUUUAUACAUUUUUUAAAAAUAUUAAUUAACAUCAAAAUUUAUUAGUAUGAGAAGAAAAAGUUAAAAUCACAUCAUCAUAUGUAAUAUGUUAUUCUUAUAAAGUAGUCGAUAAUAUGAUUGCUAAUAAAAAUAACAAAAAAAUAAAGUAGUCGAUAUGCAAUUUAUCUAAUUGUUCUAGUGUUUUAUAUUUGUUGGGUUAUUACAUCUUUAGCAUUUAACAAAUACUCCUUAUUUGUUGGUCAUUGGUCAAGUUAUUCAUCAUAUGAACUUGAAUCUAUAUCAUUAAUAUUAUCAAGAUCUUCUUCUUCUAUGUACUUUUCAAAGUAUGGAUCAUCUCAAUUCCACCUACGGAUGAAAUUAUGAAGUAAGUGAUGUGCUAGUAAGAUCCAACUUUUUUAAUGUUAUACUGAAAUAAUGUUGUUAAUAUGAGAAAUAUAUUUUUUUAGAAUAACAAAAGUCCUUUUAACCAUAGUUCGAAGAAUUGAAUGUCUCAAAUUAAAGAGUUCACGAUCUGUCUCUGGUACUUGUGUUUGACUCCAUUCUUUCAAAUGGUAUCGUACUCCACGAUACGGUAUAAUAAAAUCUUUUGUAUUUACAUAACUUGUAAAACCCUAAAAUUUAGAAGGGUAGAAUAAUUAGAUGUUAUUGUAAAAUGAAAUCUGAUUAGGAGGUCUAAUUUUAAAAUAGUGUGUUUUAAUUAGGUUAGGACCUAAUUGGAAAAAAGGGUAAAAGUGAAUUAAAAUAUUAAUAGCGAGUCUUUACUAUGAGUAUUAAAAUAUGAUAACAUUAAAAAAGAUAUAGGUUAAAUAAGUUAAAGAAAAAUUAGGAAAAAUAUGUAAGGUAAUAAAAUUAUAUAUAUGUUGAAGUAGAAAUGAAUAUAUAUAAUUAAGUGUCUAAAAUAAAUAAGAUAUAAGCGUUAGGCUUGAUGGUUAAGUAACAAGUAUAUCCCUCAGGGAGCCUAGGAUUAAAUCCUUGUCCUUUCAUUUUUUUUCCUUUUAUUUUGAAAAUACAGCAAGCCUUCAACAAGAAGCAAUAGGUAUAGUUAAGUGCAAAAACAUCCAAGAAAUGGGCUUUGGUCGAGUGGUAAGGUGUUGGCAUUCCCAAACACAUUUUGCUUUUCUUUAAUUUCGAUCAACUUUGAAAAAUUACAGUCACACUCCUAAACUUUAAAAAAAUUGUAGUAAUGCCCCAAAUGUUUGUCAAUUUUAGAAAUUCACCCCAAUCCAAUCCUAACUAGAUUUAAUAUCUUAUCUUUCCUUAAAAUUCAAAUUAGGAUAAGAACUCUAUCACCUUUUUAACUUCUUAUCCUAUUUUGAAUUUCAAUAUAAUCCUUUUCAAAUCUUAUAUUUUGUUUUUAUAAAAUAUAAUUUAAAUAAAAUUAAAAUUCUAUUAUCUUUUUAACUACUUAUCUUAAUUUAUUUCAAAUUAAUCCUAUUAAAAUCUUAACUAGAAUUUAAAUUACUCCUUUUCAAAUCCUAAUAGAAUUUAUCUUUCUUAUUUAUAAUUAUUAUUUAUAAUUCCCCAUUUGUUAUUUUGUCAGAUUAAAACCCUAAACUCUCUCUCUCUAUAUAUAUCAUAAUUUUCUCUCAUUAUUCUUUGUCACAAAACUCUUUUAAAAUCCUUACGUUUUACUGAAAAAUACUCCUAAAGUUUUUGAAAAUUCAAUCAAGUGCACAUCAAUUGUUCUUCCCCAAAUUGUCGAAUUUCGAGUUAGUAGAUCGUUGAGUUUUUAUGAAGAUCGACCCUUGUAGGUGAUUGGAUCGAGCUGGAAUGAAGGGUAAUCACCUGAGACCUCAAUAAAGACAAACAUGUGUUCCUUUAUGAAAAAUCGAGUUAAAAUCGUGUCUAGGUUUAGGCCCACACGACCGUGUACCAUCAUUUUACAGAUUUUACAAUUCUGCCACUGUUUUCCAGAUUUUACAUUUUUGCCACUGGUUUUUUAGAUUUUAUAGUUUUGCCACUCUUCUUUAAAAAAAAUUACAGUUUUACUAUAAACUUUAUUAUUUUACUCAAAUCAGUCUCUAAUUAGGAUUUUAAUGGCAUUUAGAGAACUAGAUUAUGCAAUUAGGUCAUUGACUAUGAUUAGAAUGAUUGAAUAUAUGAAUAAAUGAAUUUAUGAUCUUAAUGAAUGAAUUUAUGAUCUUACUUAUUUUCUUAUUGAUUGCUUGAUCCUUGAAUGCUUUUAUGAUUAUCAAUGUUAUAAAUGUUGAAUGAACGUCUCGUAUGCUUAUUUGAUUGAACUAUUGAUUGAUGGAUUUAAUCGUGACCGUCGUUAUUGUGCAAUGAAAUAGAAUGUUAAAAGAAUUAAUGAUUAUAUGAGUGAAUGUAAUAAAUAUUGAUUGCAUUACAUAUGCAUGGGGGGCAAUAUGGUAAGGAGGAAGUAUAUAACAAUAUAUUUGCAUUUAAUUGUAUGUUGUGUAUCCACAGUAAAAGCAAAUUCCGACUGUUUCCAUUCUACCAUGCAAGCACAACCCUUUGAUAGCUUUCAUUUGUGAGUAUGUUGUGUUUCCACGGCCACUAGCUAGUUUUAUCUGCAUUCCAUUUGUGCGUUGUGUACCCACAGCAAAAGCAGAUUCCAAUUGUGUCUAUUUGUUGUGUGUCCAUAGCCAGUGGCAAUGAAAACUGCAAAUUAUUGAUGGUGUUAAGUCCACAACCCGGUGUGAUUGUGCGAUAAAGCAUUGCCGAGGAUGACUAAUGACCUGAAAAAACAUUUUUAGCUUUUUUGUUGUAUAUAUAUAAGAAUAGAUAUGGGAGUUUUAUUUGCUGUUAAUCUAGUCAAAGUGUGUUCAUCUAAGAAUGGCAGCAUUGCAAAUUCUAAACUCAUACUUGGUAAGUUUCAAGCCAUUCAACUCUUAAUUACUAUCUCUGCAGGGCUUGCCUUCUAAAAUCCCCUAAAUUUUGCUUCAAACAACACUGUAAAGGAACUAUCUGUAUGCAAUAAGCCUGCAAAUUCAAAUGGAAAAGCAAAAAAAGGAAAAGGGGAGAGUCUGUCAGACAACCGCGUGACCUUCCCAGCCGCGCAAGGCAAGCUGAGAACGAUCCUCUGCGGUCGAAGUGAAACCAGCAAGGGAAACACCAGACCAGUAAUCACGCUCAGAUCACAUAGUCGUGGUUCAUCAACUAGACUUGGAAUCCUAUCUCCUUUGAACUUGAGGACAUAGAGGUACGAGCUUAUAGAACAUAUCCUAUUCAAGUAAGGUCGUGCCCAGUCAAGCCUUGAUUUUAUUUUAAAUACCACUGGACUUUGUCUUCCCUUUUCGAUAUGGGAUACUGAUUAGUUUCUGACAAAACCAAUGUUUGUUUUGUCUGUUCCGUAAUUUCUCGCCGCCAUCCAUUCAACAAAGUUGGAUAUAUCUAUUCAGCACUAAAUACAAUAUAGUUUACAUAUAUAUCAUCCCAGCUAUUACAUUAACUUGAGUUACUGGAGUCUAUUCACGGUUCAUUAGCCUGUUUCAUGCUUUCAUCAUAGUUUUCUCUUUAGAAAAUGCUUGUCUAUCGACUAAGCUUAUAAAAUAUUUUGCAGCAGAGGAUGUAGUUGUUAGCAAUGUGUAGGUCUUCACUCAACUGAUGGGAAGUGAAUACAAUCGAUGAUGAUGGUAAUUUGUUGUGUUGGUUUGGUGAUAAUUUCUGUUUUAUAUAUUAAUCUAAAACUUAGUUGACAAUCAAUCAAACACCUUAUCUGCCACUAUUCAAGUAAGAUAAUGCUCCGGGCUUUUGCUUUUACCUGCAUUUUAGGAGUAGGAAAACAGGGGAAGUGUAAUUGAGAUUUUGGAUUUGCAUUUGCAGUAUUUGUGACUCAUUCACUGAUUUAAAUUGCGAUAAAAUAUAUAUAUAUUAGUCAUCUUGUGUUUCCAUCUUGUUUUGUCUGUUCCGUAAUUUCUCGCCGCCAUCCAUUCAACAAAGUUGGAUAUAUCUAUUCAGCACUAAAUACAAUAUAGUUUACAUAUAUAUCAUCCCAGCUAUUACAUUAACUUGAGUUACUGGAGUCUAUUCACGGUUCAUUAGCCUGUUUCAUGCUUUCAUCAUAGUUUUCUCUUUAGAAAAUGCUUGUCUAUCGACUAAGCUUAUAAAAUAUUUUGCAGCAGAGGAUGUAGUUGUUAGCAAUGUGUAGGUCUUCACUCAACUGAUGGGAAGUGAAUACAAUCGAUGAUGAUGGUAAUUUGUUGUGUUGGUUUGGUGAUAAUUUCUGUUUUAUAUAUUAAUCUAAAACUUAGUUGACAAUCAAUCAAACACCUUAUCUGCCACUAUUCAAGUAAGAUAAUGCUCCGGGCUUUUGCUUUUACCUGCAUUUUAGGAGUAGGAAAACAGGGGAAGUGUAAUUGAGAUUUUGGAUUUGCAUUUGCAGUAUUUGUGACUCAUUCACUGAUUUAAAUUGCGAUAAAAUAUAUAUAUAUUAGUCAUCUUGUGUUUCCAUCAUGAUAAAUAUUAAAAAAAAAAGAAAAAGGUAAGAGAGCCUGUCAGACAACUGCAUGACCUUCCCAGCCGCACAAGGCAAGCUGAGAACGAUCCUCUACGGUUGAAGUGAAACCAGCAAGGUUAUCACCAGACCAGUAAUCACGCUCAGAUCACACAGUCGUGGUUCAUCAACCAGACUUUGAAUCCUGUCUCCUUUGAACUUACGGACACAGAGGUACGAGCCUAUAAAAUAGACCCUAUUCAAGUAAGAUCAUGCCCAUCUAAGCCUUGGUUCUAUUUUAAAUACCAUCUGGCUUUGAUAUUUUUCUUCUAUGUGGGAUAUCUGUUCAGCUUCUGACAAAAACAAUCAGUGUUUGUCCUACACGUGUCUUUCAUGAUCUCUGGCCGCCGCAAAGAUUGGGAUCCAUUCAACAUAAUUAAAUAUAUCUAUUUGGGCCUGAAUAGAAUAAUUUUGAUUACUCAUGGAUCAUUAGCCUUGUCUAAUUCUUUCUUCACAGUCCUAAAUACAAUAUAGUUUACAUAUAUAUCAUCCCAGCUAUUAAAUUAACUUGAGUUACUAGAGUCUCUUCAUGGCUCACUAGCCUGUUUCAUGCUUUCUUCAUAGUUUUCUCUUUAGAAAAUUCUUGUCUAUCGACUAAGUUAGUAAAAUAAUUUACUUGGACCAAAUAGAAAUAAAUUUCAAGGACUCUGUAGCAGAGGAUGCAGUUGUUAGCAAUGUGUUGGUCUUCACUCAACUAAUGGGAAGUGAAUAUAGUCGAUGAUGAUGGUAAUUUGCUAAGGUUUGGUUAAUGAAAGGUAGAAUGAUAAUCUGUGUUUUAUGUAUUAUUCUCUUUUUAAAAUAUGAAAUUUAAUUCAAUAAUAUAAACAGUAGACAUAAAUCUGAAAAAGAAAAUUUAGGGUUUGGGACAAGUAAAAGUUUUGGAAAGAAAGUAAAAAGACAAAAGUUUGGAGGGUUUAGGGGAAAGUAAUUUUUUUAGAAGAAGUAAAAGUUUUAGAAAGAAAAUAAUAGGAAAAGAAAUUUGAGGGUUUGGGGGAAAGUAAAAGGGUUUCAGAGGGUGGGGGAUUGGGACCGGAAGUAAAAUGGUUUGGUAUUUGGUUUAUUUAAAUUAAUUGAGUUAUUCGAAUUCAAAAAGUCAACUUGAUUCGAACUCAAAAUUAAAAAAAAAUUUGAUUUGAUUCGGUUAACUCGAUUUCAAUUCGAAUAAUUUGAAAUUCAAAUUUUUUUUUAUUUUUUCGAGUCGAAUCAAAUUUUGUUCACCCCUAAUGAAAAUAAUACUGAUAUUUGAGUAUAGGCCAUCUAUGAGGCUUGCAAUUGAUGUGUCACGAAACUAACUAAAAAUUCGACUAAGACAAGUGCACAUAUAAAUUAAUAUUAUAGUUACAAUGAGCAAAUAUAUUGUUCCCACGAAGAUUAAAAGUACUAGUAAUUAUUGUCUUUCUAUUAUUUAACCGAAUAAUUUGAGUGAUCAAUAAAAAACUAAAUUUAAGUAAUUUAAUUAACUAACUAACACGAUAAAGAACAAAUUAGGAAAAUAAUCGAUAAUGUGGUCUCGACAUGUAUAACCGAAGCAAGUUCUAGAAUAACUAAUCAAUGUGACAUACUCACAACUAAAAUAAAAUGAGCACGAAAGAAAUAUAUGCUUUAUAGGCUCAAAAACUCAUAAAAAUUAUGGUUUUGAUGUUAAACUUGUGUGUAGAAGCCCAAAUUUGCCCGGGCCCGUACCAAAUAAACCAAACCAAAAUCAAUUAACAAUCUAUAAGUCCAAAAAAUUUACCCAAAUACAAGCCCAACUACCCAAACCCAAUUCAGCCCAAAAUAAACCUAGCCCAUAAGCUAAACUAGUGACAGAAACCCUAACUUACCCUAACCACCAACUGUUCUGCCGCCGCCACUCCUUCAGUGCCGCACGUCUGCCCUCUGCCACCACCAACUCAGCCACCAACUCAGCUACCAACUUUGCCACCUGCACCUACAAAAUCAAAGAGGAAGUGACAGCAAAUAAUAAUAGAGAAAAAGUGUAAAAUGGCUAUAAAAGCCAAGCAAAAAAUCAUUGUGAAGGGGGCUUCAUCACUGUAAUAGGGUUUUUUUUCUUUUAUUUCUUCUUCUUUUCUUUCGGUUAAAAACCGAAUCUGCUGUAAGGAAGGAUUUCCUCUUCCCUUUUUUUUACAAACAAAAGAGAAAUAAAUAUCCAAGAAAAAAAGAAGAGAAACGAAAAGGUUUUCCUAGUUUUCUAAUUUCAUUAAUUUAUUAUUUCGUUUUUCUACUUUUGAUUUGUAAUAAUAUACAUAUUAUAAAUAUAUAUAACACAAAAAAAGUAAAAAAAUAUACCUUUUUUGAAUUUUCCGGCAACCGUGUACGGUGGCCGGCGCGGCGGGGCUGACGGCGGUCGAUGGCGAUUUCUCGCCAGAUUCUGGGCAAUGCCGAAGAAUGCAGAGAGAGAGAGAGAGAGCUUUCUCUCUGAUUUUUUUUAAAAAUGAAGAAGCUGUUUGUUUUUUUGGUUUUUUUAAUAUUUAUAUUAAACACAAAACAGCGCCGUUUUGGUAAAGGGGGAUCCGCGCGUUGACCCGACUCGACCCGAAGGGUUAGCGUGUUUUCGCUGGAGGGGAUAUUUGCGCGCGCAGUCCCUCCUAUUUUGCGAUGUGUUGCAAUUCGGCCCUUUUUCAUUAUUUUCUUUUAUUUUUAAUUUAGCCCCAUAAUUUCAUUCUUGCUUCAAUUUAGUCCGCUGCAGCGCCGCGUUUUGGGAACUCCGUCUAUUUACUGUUUUGGUCCCUCUCUGUUUGGCGCGAGUUGCAAUUUAAUCCUUUUUUGUUUUUUUAUUUCGAAUUGGCCCUGUAUCUUUGUAUUUAUUGCGAUUCAGUCUAUUUUUAGCAUCUUUUAUUGUUUAGCUAAUUAUUUUUAACAUUAUUAUUUUUAAUAUUUUUACUAUUAUUAUUAUUAUUAUUAUUAUUAUUAUUAUUAUUAGCAUCUUUCCUAUUAUUAUUAAUAUUAAUGUUAUUAUUAUUAUCAUUAUAUUUCUAUUUAUAUUUACUUAUGUAAUUUUAAAUGUAUGUGCCAUAUUAUAUUAUAGUAUUAUUAUAUAAGUGCUUAUAUAUAUUUCAUAUAUAAUUUAUUUAAUAUAUAUAUUAAAUACUUUUUAUAUAUACAUAUUUAUAUACGUAUAUCUAUAUACUCUUUUUCCUCAUGAAUAUAUGUAUACAUACUCAUAUAUAUUUUUUAUUUUAUUUUAAUAAUUUUAAAACAUGCAUAUACAUAUUUUUCAUAUUUUUAUAAAUUUAUGUGCGUACACAUGUUUUUAUAACAUACAUACUUAUAUAGUAUAUAUUUUUUUCGCAUUUUAUAAUCUAUAUACAUAUGUAUGUGUAAAUACUUAUAUUUUAUAUCUUAUAAUUCAUAUAUACAUCUUUCAUAUUUUCAUAAUUUUAUGUAUAUACAUAUAUAUAUAUUUCCCUUAUAUGUACAUACAUAUUUUUCAUAUUUUAUGAUUUUCAUAUAUUUUCCUUUAUUUUUUUAUGUUCAUUUAUGUAUUUAUUUAUAUGUCCAUUUUUAUGCUUUAGUUUAUUUAUUUAUUUAUUUGCUAUGGUAUAUGCAUGAUUGAUUUAUUUUAUCAUUCGUUUUUGUUCUUUUUUUAUUCACAUUAUCAUGUUUAUUAUUCCAUUAUGCAUGUAAAUAUCAUAUUUCAAAAAAGGAAAAUAUUUCUAAUUGAGGCAAUAUUUAGCGUUUGGAAAUUCGAGAAAACGUACCUUAAUCUGCUAGGUUUCGAUUUUUCUCAUUCAACCAAAUAACUAAGUAUCCUUUUAAAAAUUUCAAAAUAAGGCAAUGUUUUGCGUUUGGAAAUUCGAGAAAACAUGCCCUAAUGUGCUGGGUUUCGAUUUAUCUCGUUCAACCAAAUAGCCAAAUAUCCUUCCAAAAAUUUCAAAAUAAGGCAAUGUUUUGCGUUUGGAAAUUCGAGGAACGUGCCCUAAUGCGCGGGGUUUCGAUUUCUUGUUUAACCAAAUAGCCAAAUAUCCUCUUGAAUUUGAAUCCAUGCCAUUCGAGUUUUUUAAGGAUCGUAUUUUAAAUUUCUUUAAAGUUUUCAAUAUUCGACUUUAAGACAUUAACUAAUCAACUAGGUACCAAUUUUGGGCGUAUCAAGGGUGCUAAUCCUUCCUCGUGCGUAACCGACUCCCGAACCCGUUUUUCUAAAUUUCGUGGACCAAACUUGUUGUUUUAAUAAAAUCAAAUCGUUUAUUAAAAAUAACCGCUUUUCGAGGUGAUCCGAUCACACCUCAUCAAAAAGGAUCGGUAGCAACUCCCAUUUUCAUUUUCAUUUUCAAAAAACCCAAGUCGACCCCGUUUUCAUUAAAAAUGGUGUCAAGAUUGUGAAUUUAAGAUUUCAAGAUAAUGUUUCAGUUCAGAGAGAUAGUCUACAAUAAUAGUUUUUGAAAAACAACUUAUCAUACUUGACUCUCUCGUGUCUUAAAAUGUAAAUAUAAAAAUGCACAAAUUAAUCCCAAAUAGAAUCAAUAAAAACUCCAAAUUAAAAAAUUUUAGGUUUGAGAAAAUUACUUAAACAUAAACAACAAUUCAGAGAAUAUAUCGCUUAAACAUAUAAAAUCCUCCCCACACUUAAGAUAUACAUUGCCCUCAUUAUACAAAGAAAUAUAAAGAAUAUAAGAAAAAUAUCAAAAGAGAGGAAGAGAACUGAAAUUACCUUGAAUUUGGAUGAUUUAGCAAAAAUAGUAAAAUCUAGAAAUGUAAGAUAUCAUAACUUAAGUACAUGGUUCCAAGCACACUAAUAAGAAAAUAGAAAAAAAUAAAAGAAGACAAAGAGAUAACAGAACAAAUAAAAAAACAGUUGAAAAGCAUAACAAUAAAGUGCAUAAUAAAAUAAAAUAAAACAUAUAAAUCGGUAAAAUAAAAUAAAAUAAAUAAAAAAUUUAAAAAAUAAAGUAGAUGAACCGGGUUGGGUUUGGGGUAGAAAGGAACAAAAAUAAAAACUCUAACUUUAAAAAAGGGUACACGACCAUGUGUCAGGCCAUGUGAGCUAUAGGGAUGGGUAGUCCAGUUGUGUAUCUCUCUGAGGCUGUGUGACCUAUUAGAAAAUUUUCUCCAGUAUUCACACAGUCUGUGACACGGCCGUUGGCACACACGGUCGGGUUGCCAGGCUGUGUGUAAUCACCUAGACCCUGUGUUGUUGUCGUUCAUUUCUCCCACGGUCGUAUGGGUCACACGACUGUGUCACCAGGCCGUGCGACUUCACUCAGACCGUGUGUGUCAAAAAUUUGUAAAAAUAUUGGCUCCAAUAUUCACAUGGUCCACGACACACCCGUGUAGUAACAUCUCAUUUUUCAGUGAUGUCAGAAAUAGUAGUUUCGAGACCAUAACUCUGACGUAUCAAUUCAUAAAUAUUAAUUAUUUAAUAUUACGAGGUCAUUAGUGUCGUAUUAAAAUUUGGUUAGGAAAUUUUAUCGUUUGGAUAGUUAAUUAAGUAAAAAGGACUAAAUUGUAAAAAGUAGAAAAAUAAAUUGCAAUUAGUUAAGGUUACCAAAUAGCUAUAGAAAAGUAAAUUAAAGGAUUAGGAUGGUAAUUAAACCAUUUCUUUUCAUAGUGGACAGUAAUUGAUGAAAUUUGAAUGAAAUAAUAAAGGGUAUAAUAGUAAUUUAAUUAAUAAGUAAAUUUAUAACAAAAUCAAAUAGGAAAAAACAACUCCAUCUUCUUUAUUUUUUUUCUUUCAAAAGCUGAAAACCCUAGAAAUUUUGCAGUAAGCUUUGAUUGAGCUUUAGUCCUUUGAUUUGGUGAGUAAAUCUCGCUCAUUUUUAGUAAUUUUUAUGUUUUUGAGCUCGUAUUAGAUUGAUUUAGCUAACCCGAGGACUAAUUUGUAAAGCUUUUAAAUGUUUUGGAUUAUGCCAUUGUUGAGUUUGAAUUAUUCUUGAAGCUUUAUGGAAGAAUAUUGAGUUUGGCUGUUAGUUAGGACUAUUUUGUAAAGUAGUUUUUUUUAUUUUAAUGUUAAUGAUUAAAUUGUUAAAAUGGUAAAAAUUCCAAGGACUUGUUAUGAAUUAACUAGAAAUAUAGGUUGUAAUGAGGUCCUAUAAUAUUCGGCUAGGCUAGGUUUUAAAUAAAAUUGGUUAAAUUGCAUGUUUGGGGCCUAAGGACUAAAUUACAUAAAUGUAAAAUGUUGGGGGUAAUUUUGCGAAAAAUGUCUAAAAGGGCUUAAUUGCAUAAAAUUAUUUAAUUUUUCUAUUAGAAUUAGUUAAUUGAAUGGAAUUAUUAUUCUAGAUCAAGAACGAGUUAAUAAUCGUGAAAAAGCGAAAGUUGUAGAAUAGUCCUUGUACUUUUGACAUCGCUGUAGUUUAGCCUGGUACGUUCGUUCAGUUUAAUUGUAAAAACAUUUUAAAUUCUCAUUAUAUAAACUUAGUUAUUGAAUGUUGAUUAAUGAAUUAAUGUUUGUACAUGGAAAUACAAUUAAUGAGUUAUUAUCGCUUGAUCACUGAUGAAAUGCCCUGAGCCAGAUAAACGUAGGAUAGAGUACAAUUAGCAUGCCAAUAGGUUAUUUGCGCGCGGUACGAUAUUGGUAUGAGGUGUGAUGAUGCUUUCUGAAUAUUCUCUGUUCACUAAAUAUACUAAGGUCCUACAUUUGUUGCGAAUUAUCAAGUUAUAUUACAGUGUUUAUCUAGUGAGUUACAUGGGCGGACACAUGGGUGGGCACACGGGGGUGUGGGGUAGUCACACGGGCGUGUGGGAUAACCACAGGACCAUGUUUAGAGUCAUACAGUCUAGGCUUUGUCACACGAUCAUGUGACCCCUAUUUUGAAUUUUUUUAUAUUUUUGUCCUAAAUCUCUUGUUUUGUUUCGAAUUGGUCCUUAAUUGUUCCAAAACUAUUAUAAGGCCACAUAGGCUCGAUUUAAGGCCCAUAUAUGUAUGAUUUAUUCUAAUUUUAGUUAUUUAUUAUUUCUACUAAUUAAUCUGAUAAACUUGGUGCUAUCGAUUAUUGAUUCUUUUGAAUGUACGUUAAUAUGCCGUAACCUUAAUCUGACGACGGGUAUGGGUUAUGGGUGCUACAUUUAGUGGUAUUAGAGCCAUAAUUUAGUCGAUUCUUGGGCUGAAUGUAGCGUAAAGGAGGUCUAAAAAUUACAUGCCAUAUAAACCUAUGAUAGUGUGGUAUUAAUUGAUCCGAUGUAACCCCUUUUUCUUAUAGAUUUUUAAAGAUGUCAUCUGAUUUUGAUCGUGAUGAAAGUAAUGAAGUUAACUGUAACAUUCUAACUGCUGGUUUUGAAGCUAGUCAUAGCAUACUGAUUCCACAAAUGUCUGGAAACGAGGUUAAAAAUAUGUUCUUUGGUUUGAUGGGUCAAUGGAUCAUUGAGUUUAUGAGAAAUAAUCCUGUGGCUUAGCAACCUCUACCACCAGUAGUACCCUCUGUUGUACCUUUUGUGAUACCUCCAUCCCUUCCGAUAGCUAAAACGAGUCGACGGGUCCCAAUUGAAAAAGUUAGAAAAUAUGGUGCUGAGGAAUUUCGGGGCAGGACUGAAGAUGAUCCGGCUAAAGCUGAGUAUUGGCUGGAGAAUAUUCAACGAGUUUUUGGUGAUAUGACCUUUUCUCUUGAUGAUUAUCUUAGAUGUGUUGUAUCAUUGUUGAAAGACAAAGCUUACAGUUGAUGGUUAACGUUAACAGUAGUAGUACUAAGAGAUAACAUCAAUUGAGAAUUCUUCAAAACAGAAUUUAAAAAGAAAUAUGUCAGCAAAAGAUACCUGAAAUGGAAAAAGAAAGAAUUCCUGGAAUUAAAAUUGGGAAACAAAUCAGUAGUUGAGUAGGAGAGAGAAUUUGUGCAUCUCUGUAAGUUUGCUCGAGAAAUUAUGCUAAAUUAGGGAGAAAUGUGUAUCCGUUUUGAAAACGAGUUAAAUGAUGAAAUCAAGAUGAUGAUCGACGGGACUGAGAUACGAUAGUUUGUAUUUCUAUUUGACCGAGCUCUAAAGAUGGAAGAAAUUUAUAAUCAUUUUCUGCACCACCACUAAAAAAAGCAAAAGAAGAUGAUAACCGUAUCACUGCGUCAUCUGGGUUUCCAAGCAUAAGUAAACUGAGCGAACAUGAUUCCAAGUUCUAGAAUAAACCUGCCGAUAGUGUGGUCAGUGUUCGCAAUACUCCGAGACCGGUGUGUGAACACUGUGGUAAACCACAUACUGGUACUCAACACAUACUGUGUAGGGCCAAAGUGAGUGCUUGUUUUAGGUGCGGUUCAACUGAUCAUUUUGUAUGCAAUUAUCCAAAAAUGGUGAGAAAGACUGAUGAUCAGAAUGAAAAACCUGUGACCAUGCCGCAGAAGAGCAAAUGUCCUAGUAAGAGUAGCAAUACAGGGGUGAAUCGCAAUGGCACUAAAGAUAUAAUAGCCAGAUCUGAAACUAGAGCACCUGCACGGACUUAUGUUAUUUGAGCCAGAGAAGAGGCUGUCGCGCCUGAUGUCAUUACUGGUAUAUUUUGUCUUUUUGAUGUUACUGUAUAUGCUUUGAUUGAAUCUGAGUCGACACAUUCGUAUUUUUGCACUUCUUUUGUAACGCCCCAAAAUUUUAAUUUUGGGUAUUGUCAAUGUGUGACACAAAAUAUCUGUCUGCUUUAGUGGUUAUGUGUUCUGGGUGUGUUUGGGAGGUCCCAAGUUCAAGCCAGGACUUAGGCAAAUAUCAUUGGUCAGUAGGCUUUUAAGUAAAAGUUGGCAAAUAAUUAAUAGAAUGGGCUUGCUAGUCUGGUGGAUAAGUGGAGUGUUGGUGUGAAGGAGGUCCUAUGUUCGAAUCUUGGCGUGGGCAUUAUUUUUGCUUGUGUGUCCAGGAGAGUUUGAGAUGGAUUAAAAAUCUGAGUAGUGGAUUUAGUGAGGAGUUUGAUGGAGAGGAAUAAAGGAUUGGGAUGGUUAUCAAAUAUUCUGUUCAUCUUUUUUUUCCUUUUUUACUUUCCUAAAAAUCCCUCCACCCUCUUGCCGUUUUUUGCUCUCUUUCACCCUUCAUCUUCUUGAUUUUUCUUUUCCCACUCUGCCUCAUGUUGUUCCACGUUUGUCUAUAACCAUUCGGUAAGUUUUAGAUAAAUGAUUUGUCUCUGUGUGUUAACUUUUUUCUGAAGUGUUUUUUAAGCCAAUUAGGGGAGGAUUCAAGGGCUCGUCAUCACCAAUCGGAGUCUUAGUUUGUGCAGGAAUUACCGUUCAUUGGUUGAAGGUAAGGUUUAGUCGCUUAUUGGUUAAAACCUUGAUACGAGUUCGAUUUGGGAUCACAUUAUAUGAGAUUAAAUUAGUGUUAUUUGUUCAAUUAUAGGCUUUAGAAUGCUCGGGGACUAUUUUAGCAUCAAACAAAACCAAGUGUGUACCCGAAACACAAAAAAUGGGAUUUGGCGAAAAGCCAAAAUUGCUUGCUGUUUGGACAGCAGUAGUAGGCUAAUUUUGAAAAAUCACCAUAAAUUUUGGAAAUUGAAUUAGAGAAUGAAAAAAUAUGGAAUUAAAUAUUAUUGAGUCUAGUUUCUCAUAGAAGAAACGCUGUAAGUAAUGGAAUUGUAAAUCAUGAGAUACAAUAAGUUUUGUGAGACAAGGUCAGAAUGAAUUCAGGUUCCCCUAUUUUGUCUUUGGAAAAUCAUCAAAAAUUGGAGAAAAAUAAUUAGGGGUUAAAAUUUUCACGUUUAAAUUAUUAAUGAGUAUAUUUUCAAUAGAAACAAAUGGUAACAUCAUCCAAAUUUUUUACAAAGAGAUAAUUAAUUUUUUACAGCAGAACAGGGAUAAGAUUGAAGAUUUUACUGUACUUAUUGGCUUAACCAAAAAUUUUGAAAAUUUUAUCGCAGAAAGGUAUUUGAGUAUAGUUUCAACGAAAUCAAGCGAACCUUAAUUUGGAAUUCUGUAGCUCAAGAUAUAAAUAAUUUGGUAACAGUGACUCAAGUAGACAGCUUUGAAGGAACAUAUAAGUAAAUAGUGAAAACAUAUAUGAAUAUUUAGCUAGCACAGGUUACAUUAAAAAUGGAUCAUGCGGCCAAGGCCAAUUUGGGUCGAGUGAGCCACACGGAUGUGUGGGCCCACAUGGGCGUGUGAGCCCAUUUUCACUAAAUUGAUUACUAAGGUUGCACGGGUCGCCCAAGUCGACUGUGGACCUACUGUAGGGUCGGUAAGCAUCACUUAGACCCCUAAUUGUAUGAAUUGACUGUUUGAUUUAUAUAUAUGUUAAGCAUGAUGAUAGUAUGCUUGUAUAAUGAACUGGUUAUAUGUAUUAAUGUCCUGAGAUAGCAUGUCAUAACUUGUAUGUUGCAUUGCAUGGGGUAGGGUUAAUUAUAUUUGGAGGAAGUGUACUGAAAGGCUCUUAAGCCUAACAUACUAGCAGCUCAGCUGCAAAUUACUGUUUUGUGCCGCAUUCGGUACUACCUGGAGUGUAAGGAUGGGUGGGUUGAUUUGAUCCCCACAUGGAGUGUAGGGUUGGACAAAGAUGGUGUGUAGAUGCUGGUUGGGUAAGACUUUGUUACUGAAUACUACAUGACUGUUAGUGAUACUGUGAUGGGCUAAUGCACUACUGCAUAUUUGAUAUUGUACUGAGAUGGGCUAAGGCCCAAACUGUUAUUGAUAUUGAAAAAAAGGCUUAGGCCCAUGACUGCUUUAACUGUGCACUGUGAUUUGCUAUUGUUUGUUCUCUGUGGGAUUACACACUGAGUUUUCGUAAACUCACCCCUUUUGUUUAAAUGUGCAUAGGUAAUCCCCAGAUCUAGACGGAUCGGUGCGGCGGAGGACUCGACGGUAACCACGGUUUUGGACUUUCAUGGUUUUUAACCCAUAUUUACGAUAAUUGGUUUUAUUUCUAUUUUAUUUUUACUGGCAAAGUUUUUGGGUUGUAAUUGGACUUUUGGGCUUUGGUUUUGGAUUUUAAUUAUCUUUACCUUAUAGAUUACAACUGGUAGUAGUAGGAAACCUCGGUUUUCAAAAGAAACAAAUGUUUUUCCUAAACACACGAUUGUUUAAUCUAUUUUAAAAGCUUCCGCAAACGAAUAACGUUUUGAAACUAUCGAUUAAAUGAGCAACACAAUUUUGGAACUAAUAAGAUAUUAAGAUAAGCAAUUUAAUGGAAAUAGUUUUAACGCGACGACACGGUUUUCAAACACCCUAUCAUGUGACAUCGCUAGAUCCGGCCAUAACAUCUGGGCCGGGUUUGGGGUGUUACAUCUUUGGCUAUGGAUGAAAAUUUACUUAUUGAUUCAAUCGAAUUUGAUGUUCAAGUUACAAAUCCACUAGGUCAAAGUGUAAUAGUUAAUUUCAUAUGUCAUAAAUAUCCACUAAGAGUUAAGGGCUGUUAAUUUCUCGCUGAUUCAAUGUUUCUACCCUUUCAUGAAUUUGAUAUAAUUCUAGGAAUGGACUGGUUGACGUUACAUGAUGCUGUGGUAAACUGUAAAUUGAAACGGGUUAAUUUGAUAUGUUCAACGGGUAAACUGAUUACAGUUGAAUCUGACAGAGCAAACAGUGUUACAAGAGUUGUUUCAGCUAUUUCUACGCAAAAAAUGAUUCGUAAGGGUUGUGAGGCAUGUCUGGCUUAUAUAUUGGAUACUCAAGAUUUUGGGUCAAAGCUGGAUCAGGUACCUAUUAUUAAUGAAUUUACAGAUGUAUUUCCUAAAGCGUUAUUGGGAUUGCCACCAAACGUAAAGUUGAAUUUGUUAUCGAUCUGAUACCCGAGAUUACACUAAUAUCUAUUCCACCGUAUAGAAUGGCACCAACUGAGUUGAAAGAACGUAAAACACAAUUGCAAGAAUUGUUAGACAGAGGUUUUAUCUGACCGAGUGUAUCUCCAUGGGGUGCACUAGUGUUGUUUGUGAAAAAGAAAAACGGUUCGUUGAGAUUAUGCAUCAAUUACAUGUAGCUGAAUAAAGUGACAAAAAAGAAUAAAUAUCCUUUGCCUUGUAUUGAUGAAUUGUUUGAUCAGUUGAAAUGUUCAACCGUGUUUUUUAAGAUAGAUCUCUGAUCAUGAUAUUACCAGAUGCAAGUAAAAGAUUGUGAUGUGCCGAAGACUAUUUUUCGAACUUGAUACGACCACUAUGAAUUUUUGGUAAUGCCUUUCUGAUUAACUAAUGCUCCGGCUGCUUUCAUGGAUUUAAUGAAUCAGGUUUUUCAACCUCAAUUGGAUAGAUUUAUGGUUUUAUUUAUUGAUGAUAUAUUGAUCUACUCUAAAAUAGAAUCUGAGCAUACUUAGCAUUUGAGAACUGUAUUACAGAUUCUGCACAAUAAACAAUUGAAUGCAAAAUUCAGCAAAUGUGAGUUCUGGCUUCAAAAGGUUAGAUUUCUUAAACACGUGGUUUCUGUAUAUGGGAUACGUGUUGAUCCAAGUAAGAUUUUUAUCGAUGUUAAUAGGAAAGCUCCGAAAAAUAUUUCAGAGGUACGAAGUUUUUUGGGAUUAGCAAGUUAUUAUCGUCGCUUUGUUAAAAACUUCUCUAUAAUAGCUUCACCGAUGAUUAAGUUGCUAUAGGAGAAUGUUUGUUUUGUUUGGUCAGAUGAGUGUCAGCAGAGUUUUGAUCAAUUAAAAAGAAUGUUGACAGAAGCUCCAGUAUUGACACAACCUAAAUCUGGGAAAAAAUUUAUUGUAUACAGUGAUGCGUCACUUAGCGAACUGGGUUGUGUAUUAAUGCAAGCCGGGAAAGUAAUAACUUAUGCUUCUCGUCAGUUAAAGCCACUUGAGAGGAACUACUCGACUCACGACUUAGAGUUAGUUGUUAUUGUUUUUUCUCUGAAGAUUUGGCGUCACUACCUUUACGGUGAAAAAUGUCACAUAUUUACAGAUCAUAAAAGUCUGAAAUACUUGAUGACUUAAAAGGAAUUUAAUUUGAGAUAGCGACGGUGGCUAGAGCUAUUAAAAGAUUAUGAUAUUGUGAUUGACUAUUAUCCCGGGAAAGCUAAUGUUGUUGCAGAUGCAUUAAGUCAGAAGUCAUUAUUUUCCUUGAGAACAUUGAAUACGCAUUUGACACUAGAGGGUGAUUGUUCUAUUUUAGCUAAAUUGAGGGCUAGACUGUUAUUUCUUCAGCGGAUUCAGGAGUUACAAGAUGACGACCCGAAGUUAUUAGCUAAACGAGAGUAAAUCUAGAAUGAUCGGACUACACUGACUUAUUCGAACUUACUCAUUAGAUUUGUGGUCCCGAAAUCAUUAUUGACUCGUAUAAUUUAAAUACUAAUUAUUUUUGUUUGUUUGUCGGUUGGGUUUCUAUUUUGUUUCUGUACAUUCUAUUUUUGAUUAUUUAUCCAGUCAAAUAUUUUUCAAAAAAUUAAAAAAUUAUAGAAAAUUAAAACAAAAACGCCGAAACUUAAUAUUAGCCACCACUAGAUUAAAAAUUGUUAGUCAAUUAAUAAUGAGUUUAUCUUUACACAAUUGAAAAACUAAUUUUCUUAAUAAUAAACUUUGAAAAAAAAUCCCUCUUUCAACUCUUUCUACUUUCAGUUUUCAUGUUCCCUCAACUCUCAUAGCUUCCCCUAGUAACCAAAACUAACAAUCCCUUCUUUUAAAAAGAAAAUGAAACCUUUUUGUUUUUUGGGGGGGUUUAAAAGAGUAUAUAAGCCUCUGAAGUUUAACAAAAGAAAAUUAAUUAAAUUUUUCCAUCUUCAAAAUCUGAAAUUAUAUCAAUUAAAUUCUCUGAUCAACUCUGACGUGACUAUUAAUAAUAGUACCCAUAUAUAUAUAUGGAAUUAGUUGGCAAUAGGGAAAGUAUAAAACAUUAAUUGAUGUUGCAAACAGCCAUAAAAAAUAUAGAACCGGUAGACAUGAACCAUCAUUUCCUUCACUGGUAUUUUAAUUAAACUUUCACCUUGUUGUAUUCAACAAAAUAAUUAAGAAAUAAUUAAAAAUAUGCAAGUAAAAAUACAUCAAUCAGAGAAAUAGAACGCGAUAAGCUGUAGCAAAGACGCAACAAAAACCAUGGGCGGGUGAAGGUGUUUAGACUAAUUAAUUCUCUAAGUUUGGGUUUGGCUCAAAUUUUUUUUUUUUUUUUUUUGCUUAAAAUCAACUCAAUUUAAAGAAGAUAAAUCUUGCGUUUGGUCAUAUUUAAUUUUUUAAAAUUAGUUUUUAUUUAAAAUAAUUUUAAAAAAAUAAAAUAAAAUGUACUAAAAAAUGCAAAAAUAAAAUGCAUUAUCUGGCCGUCAGCUGCACGUCCCUCUACAAUCGUCUCUAUCAAAAAAGCAUUAACAUUUUCAACUUUUAACUGACAAAUCCCAUUCUCCCAUGGACCAUUUGGUGAAACUAAACUUUUAAGUGAAUAUAUUAAAAUGGUAAUAUAAAUAUUUUAAAUUAAGAGCAAUUAAUGAAACAUAAUAAAAUUCAUUUGAUCUAAUAUAAUUUUAAAUGAGAGGCGUUUAGGGAAAGUAAUGCGAAGAUGUAAAUUUAAUUAAUUCUCAACUUAAAAAAUAAAUAGAAGGGUAUUUAAUGGAACGGAGAAUCAACAGUUGAUGUUGCAGACGCAUUGUGGUUUUAAAUUGUAAUAACAAUCUUAAAUUAGUUGGCUUAGAUUUGUGUGUAAAGCAUGGCCCAGGAUGAUUAAUGCUUUCAGUCAACAUUUUAAGCUUUUUGUUGCAUAUAGAAAUGGUAGUUUUAUUUGCUGUUAAUCCGGUGAUAAGAAUGGCAGCAUUGCAAAUUCGAAACUCAUAUUUGGCUCUUGCCUUCUAAAAUCCCCCAAAAUUUGCUUCGAACAACACUGCAAAGCAACCAACAAGAGACUGUAAUAAGCCUGCAAAUUCAAAUGGAAAAAGCAGAAAAAAAAAAAAAGGCGAAUGAGUCUGUCAGACAACUGCGUGACCUUCCCAGCCGCCCAAGGCUAGCUGAGAACGAUCCUCUGCGGUCAAAGUGAAACCAGCAAGGGAAUCACCAGACCAAUAAUCACGCUCAGGUCACACAGUCCUGGUUCAUCAACCAGACUUGGAAUCCUGUCUCCUUUGAGCUUAAGGACACAGAGGUACGAGCCUAUAGAACAGAUCCUGUUCAAGUAAGGUCGUAUCCUUUCAAAUCUUGAUUCUGUUUUAAAUACCACUGGAUUAUGUCUUUUCUUUCCAAUGUGGGAUACUGAUCAGUUUCUGAUUCCAUAAUCUCUGGUCGCCGCAAUGUUGGAUCCAUUCGACUUUUUUUUUUUUAGAGUUAUCAACACAAUUAAAUAUAUCUAUUAAGGCCUGAAUAGAAUAUUUGUUUACCGUAUUACCCAGCUAUUAUAAUAAUUUUGAUUACCCAUGGAUCAUUAACCUGUCUAAUGCUUUCUUCACAGCUUAUAGCCUUAAACUUGAAUUCGUUCUUUUAAAUCAUUAUGUAUCCAUGUGAUUAAACUAAUGGGAAGUGAAUGCAGAUGCAGCAGUCAAUGGUGGUGGUAAUUUGCUGCGUUUUUACACAAUGUAUUAUGUGAUUGGAAGGUGGUUUCGUAAGUUCUGAAGAACGGUGGUCCAGACCAGAGAUCCCAGAGGCAGUACAAAUAACUCUCGCAUGUUCUUAGAACACUUAGAAUGCCAUGGGAGCGCUUCAUUAAUGCCUUCAGUUUUGCCUUUGCCUGAAGAACUAUGUAACCCAGGUUUGUAUUGACAAACGAACUCAGAAAGGAAAAAAGAAAGAAAAAGAAAAAGAAAAAGGGUCUGUCAAACAACCGUGUGACCAGCCCAGCUAGACAAGGCAAGCUGAGAACGAUCCUCUGCGGUUAAGGUAGACCAGCAAGGAAUCACCGCACCAUCAAUCACGCUCAGAUCACACAGUCUCGAUUCAUCAACCAGACAUAGUAUCCUGUCUCCUUUGAGACUCAAGGAUAUAGAGGUGCGAACCUAUAGAACAGAUCCUGUUCAAGUAAGGUCGUGCCCUUUUGUGCCUUGGUUCUAUUUUAAAUACCACUAAACUUUGUCUUUCCAUUUCGAUGUGGUUCCGCGUUUUAUCCUACACGUGCCUUCCAUACUGUCUGGCUGGCACAAUGAUUGGGAUCCAAUGAACAUGGUUAAAUAUAUCUAUUUAACCCUAAACAGAACAUUGUUCAUUAUAUCACCCUCACUAUUACAAUAUUUCUUAAAUGAUUGCCUACCGAUUAAACUAAUAAAGAAACUAUCUGAAGGAGAUUAUUCUUCAGACAACCGAUGGGAAGUGAAUGCAGACGCAGCAGUCAAUGAUGACGGUAAUUUGGUAUGUUCUUAUACUAUUGUUAGGUGAUUGGAAGGUGGUAUGAUAAUUUGUGAAAGAAAUUGUGGCCCAAAGAUCCCAAAGGCAGUACAAGUUGUUGAAGUUCAUAACUCACAAACAACUAACCCAGGAUGGUCCCUUAUUACACUAGAAUGCCAUGUUCUUCUUGUCAUGCCAUUGAAGAGUUAAGUUUGCCUUUUACCUGCAGAAUUAUGUAAUAUAUAUAUUGCUGGAUUAAACCAGGUUUUCCUAAUUAUCAACCCCUUUUCCAAGUUCGAUUUUGCAUAUUAUGUAAAUAUAGAGGAAACCGUAGGGAGAUCCAUGUUUAUAGAAAAAGAUAAGGUGAGAGGUACAUGUAUGAAUGCUGAGAUUCAAGACAGGAUUUAAUUCGUUGUAGGCCCCCAAAGUGUUUUUGGGAUAUUUAUUGCCGUGGGCUAGAAAGAAAGGAUUAUAUAUUGUUUUUGUCAAUAUAUGGAGAAGAAAAUCGUAUUGUAUAUGUUGACACCAUUUUUUUUUGUUUAAAAACGAAGUCGACUUGGGUUUUGAAAAAUGAAACGGGAGUCGCCACCAAUCCUUUUUUAUGAGGUGUGAUUGGAUCACCUCGAAAAGUUGUUGUUUUUAAUAAACAGUUUGAUUUUAUUAAAACAAGUAGUUUGGUCCACGAAAUUCAGAAAAACGGGUUCGGGAGUCGGUUACGCACGAGGAAGGAUUAGCACCCUCGUAACGCCCAAAAUUGGUACCUAGUUGAUUAGUUAAUGUCUUAUUGUCGAAAAUUGAGAACUUUGAAGAAUUUUUUAAAAAAUACGAUCUUUGUAUUAAAACGUUAAAAAUUUUAGGAAAAUGGGCAUAUUUCAUGUUAUUCGAGAAAGAGAAUCAUAUCCAGUAAGUUAUGACACAAUAUCUCGAAUUCCCAAUACGCGAAUGAAAAAUGUUUAUUUAAAAGAUAUUUAACUAUCUUGGAUUAAAAAAGGGAUCACAACCAGUAAGUUAGGACACGAACCUUUUUUAAUUCCCGACAUUGUUUAAAACUUGAGUUCAAAAAUAUCCGUGUAUUUAGAUUUAUUGUGAAAAUCGAAACCCAGUAAGUUAGGGUACGAUUUUUCAGAUAUCUAAACACGAGAUUUAAUUUAUUUGAAACAGAUUUUGAUAUAUCGGGUAAAAUGAAACACGAUACUAAUAUGUAUUGCAAUAUAUAUAAAAAAACAUAUGUAUAUGAAUUAUAAAAUAUAGAAAAUACGUAAGAAAAAUAUAGAUUUUGAAAUAUAAAUAAUAUGUAUAAGUAUGUGUAUAUAUAUAAAUAAAAACACGUAUGUACAUAUGUAUAUAUAUUAUGAAAUACAACCAUAUAAAAGUAUAAAUAUGUAUAUAUACAUAUAUAAAAAAAAGGGUAUGUGCAUACAUAUAUAUUACAUAAAAAUAAAAGAUAUAAGUAUGUAUAUCGUAAAAUAAAACAAUGUAAGUAUGUAUAUAUAUAUAAAAAAUAGACGUAUAUACAUGAAUGAUGGAUAUAGACGUAUAUGUAUGUAUAUAUAACAAAAUGUAUGCAUGUAUAUAAGCUAAAAAAUGUGUUUAUAAAGAGAUACGUAGAUAUAUAUAAUAAGAUAUAAAUAUAUACAUAAUAAGAUAUAAAGAUAUACAUAAAUAGUUAUAAUAGUAAUAAUAAUAGGACAAAUAUAUUCAAAAUCUAAAUAAGUAAAUAUAAAUAAUAUAUAACAAUAACAAUGUAAAACUAAAUGGUAUAAUAAUGGUAACGUAAAUAUACAUAUAUAUAAUGAGAAAAUAUAAUAAUAAUAGUUAGAUUAGUUAAUAAAACAACAAAAAUAACAAAAUGGGCCAAUUUGGGAUAAAAAUAAAAUUUAAAGGUUAAGACUAUAAUAAAAUGCGCAGAGGAGGACCAAAACAGAAGGGCGCGAAAGGGCGAAGGACCGAAUAGGGAAAUAACCCCUCGCUUAUUAAACGGCGCCGUUCUAGCAUGGUCUGUGCAUAAGGUCUAUGGACCAAAUCGCAAGAAAAAAAGGAUAUUUGGGGAAAUUAAAACAAAUAACAAAAAGGGGAUAGGACCCAAUUGUAAACGGCCUCAAACGUGGAAGGACUGAGGGUGCAAAUAACCCCUCUAGUCCAAAAACACGCGGAUCCCAAGCAGUUCGGGUUGGGUCGGUCCAAUCUAGACCAAAACGACGCCGUUUUGGUGCCUAAAGGGCAUGCCCAAAACUGCGUCGUUUUGGGGGCCUAUUUAAAUAAAAAUUUUCUCAAAAACAAUUCAUUUUCAGCUUUAAUAAAAAAAACAGUCUUCUUUUCAAAAUAUCCUCUCCCCAGCCUCUCCUGACGCCGGCCAGCCUCCGGCCAUCACAGUGGCCGGAAAAUUCAAAAAAGGUAUUUUUAUUUCUUUUUUUAUUUUCUAUAUUUGUGUAUUUAUAUAUUUAUUGUUUUUUUUUAAAAGAGUGAAAUAAAGAAAGUAGAUAUAUGUAUUUUCGAAGGGGAAAACUAAAGAAAAAUAAAUAAAAAAAAUGAAAGCAGAGAUCUAAGCACCUUAUUUGCCUUGGAUCUAUUCAAAAUUUUUUGAUUGAUAUUUGUCUGUUACAAGAAGGAGAGAUGAAAAAAGAAAAAGCCCCCUGAAAAUACAAUCUUUUCCGUAUUUAUAACCGAAUGCUCCCCUUUAUUCUUUGCUCUGUUUUCUUGUUUUGUUUCGUCUUUGCAGGUGACGGCGCAAGUGGGCAUAGUGGUGAUGAACGCGGAUGGGAUGUCCGGCGGCGGUGGCGGCGACUGGCAGUAGGCCAAGAGUUAAAAGGCUAAGGGGGAGGCGGCACCUAGGGUUUCAGUCUCUGAAACCCUAAGCAGAUAUUUUUUAGGGAAAUUGGGCCGGUACAUUUGGGCUUCGGUUUGGGUUGUAAUUGGGGUUUGGGUUGUAUUUGGGUAGGCUUAGUUUGGGCUGGGCAAAAUUGGGCUUGUACAGCUGCCCCUCUUUGCUCGUUGUCGUGUAACGAGAACAAAGCAAAGACUAAGAAAGACCAAUUUUGCCCGGUCUCACCACGUCUUGACUUCUUUUGAUGCUUCUCUUCAAGUAGCUUCACUCCAGUCCACUGUGUCUUGUUACUUCGAUCCACUCCACUGUAUUUCAAAGAAAUCUGACUUGUAGCUUCGAUCUUCUUCGCAGCAACUUAGGGGGAUGAAGUUUUUGGUUUUAGUCUAUUCCUCUGCAACUUCAGGGAUAUAAGACUUGACGUUCGUAGCUUCAAUUUGCCCCACUGCAACUUCAGGGAAGUAAGACUUAUAUAUUGAACCUGUUCCACUGCAACUUCAGGGGGAUAAUGUUAGUGACUUUAAUCCGCUCCAUGCUUCAACCUAUUCUGCUGCAACUUCAGGGAAAUAAGAUUUGACAUGAUAAGAAUCGUUAUCUACUGUCCGCUCCACUACAACUUUAGGGAGACACGACUUGUUGUUUUCAGUCUACUCCACUGCAUCUUCAGGGAAAUAAGACUUGUACCUUCAACCUACUCACUGAAACUUCAGGGAAAUAGGAUUCGUAGCCGAUCUGCUCCAUGCUUCAACCUAUUCUGCUACAACUUCAAGGAAAUAAGAUUCGACAUGAUAAGAACCGCUAUCUGCUGUCUGCUCCACUACAACUUUAGGGAGAUACGACUUGUUGUUUUCUGUCUACUCCACUGCAUCUUCAAGGGAAUAAGACUUGUAUCUUCAACCUGCUCCACUGCAACUUCAGGGAGAUAAGACUUAUAUUUUAACUUGCCCCACUUCAACUUCAGGGGUAUAAGGUUAGUGACUUCAACCUGCUCUACUGUAACUUCAGAGAGACAAAGUUUGAUAUGAUCUGCUCUAUUGCAACUUCAACUUGCCCCAUUGCAACUUCAUGGGGAUAAGGUUUGUUAUUUCAACCUGCUCUACUGCAACUUCAGAGAGACAAAGUUUGAUAUGAUCUGCUCUACUGCAACUUCAGAGAGACGAGAUCUGUUAUGAUAGAUUUAAUCCGUUCCACUGCAACUUCAGAAAAAUGCGAUUUGCUAUCUUUAAUAUGCUCCACUGCAACUUCAGGGAGAUAAGACUUGUACCUUCAACUUGCCCCAUUGCAACUUCAUGGGGAUAAGGUUUUUUAUUUCAACCUGCUCUACUGCAACUUCAGAGAGACAAAGUUUGAUAUGAUCUGCUCUACUGCAACUUCAGAGAGACAAGAUCUGUUCCACUACAACUUCAGGGAAAUGCGAUUUGCUAUCUUUAAUAUGCUCCACUGCAACUUCAGGGAGAUAAGGCUUGUGUUUUCAAUCUGCUUCCUAUCAGUACAGAAAGAUAAGGUCUGUCGUUUUUAGUCUGCUCCGCUGCAAACUCAGGGAGGUCAGGCUUGUGUCUUCGAUCUGUUUAACUGCCAGUACAGGAAAACAAGAUCUACAAUCUUCGACCUACUCCGCUGCUGCUCAGGGAGAUGAGACUAAUGGCUUAAAUCUGCUUUCUACUAUCUUGGGAAGAUAAGAUUCACCGUCUUCGAUCUGUUCCACUACUGCUCAGGGAGAUAAGAUCUGCAAUCUUCAACCUACUCCGCUACUGUUCAGGGAGAUAAGACUAUUCUUUAAUCUGCUUCACUGUUGGUAUAGGAAGACGAUAUCUGCUACUUUUAGUCUGCUCUACUGUAAACUCAGGGAGGACAGACUUGUGUCUUUGAUCUACUUCGCUACCAGUAUAGGAAGACAAGAUCUGCUGCUUUUAGUCUAUUCCUCUAUAAUUUCUGAGAGAUAGGACUUGGUAUGACGACUUCAAUUCAUCCCACUGCCACUUCAGAGGUAUGGGUAACUUCAUUGAUCUGUUCUCUGGGGAACAUGACCUGUAAAGUCCAUUUUAUGAACUUAUUUAUGCCUAAUGAUUAGGCUGUUAUGAUUAGAACGAAUCAAAUGCUCCUAACUAGGUGUGUAUGAUUGAUAUUUGUAUAAAUGAAGAAUGUCAUGAGAAUGAUCCCUUUUUAAUGCUUAGGUUAUCAUCACGCAAAAGCUUAUUAAGGCUUUAUCACUGACGUGCUACAACGCCUUCUUGCUCGGCUAGUAUAUCCAAAGAAACACUUAAUCUGAUUGCCCCCACUGUAAACCUCCAAGUUCAAUCCACUGGAUGCAAAAUUUGAAUCAUCUUUCUCCCGUUGUAACCCAAGGGUACAAAGAUCUGGCCUUUUCUCGAUCCUCUGCUAUCACAAUUCAAGUAUACAGAAUGUGAAACUCUUUUGUCUCCUACACCAUUCCCCAGGUGUUAUACCAAAUGUUUAUGCACAAUUGUAAAAUUUUCUUCUCCCAGAAGACCUUUUCUUAUUGCUUGGUGAACAUCGCUUGUUUGUUCAUUGAAACUCCAGUCUCUUGUCAUUUUGUUCCAUCAAUGUUUGGACAACAAAAUUUGAAAGGAUAGUCUUUAACUUAGACUCUUCCUUCUUAGAUAUUUCACCUUUUAAACUUGGUGUGUUCUAAACAAUAGUCUUGUUUCAAGUUCCAAUAUUAUUUAGAAACUUCUAGAGUAAUAUGAAAAAAUUCUCUUGUGAAAGUAUUAUUAGUCCAUUAAUCAUUAUUCUAAUACAACAUGCUAGCAAAAAGAUCAUAGCAAUGGAUAAUUAUAGAAUUGAUUUGAAAUCAUAGCUUGAAAUGAAUAAAUUAUCAAGAAUAAAAGAGGAAUUGAUUGGGAACAUGUACCUUGAAAAAUAAAUAAGUAAUCCAAGAAUAACAAAUUCAAUAUAAAUAGUAUGAGGACUAGAUUCCCCAGAUAUCGCAGCUUGAACUUCUCUGUACAAACUCUUUGAAAGACCAUUCUGAGUUUGACAUGUGUUUGGGAGAUCUAAAGGAGUUUGUUGAUGCCCCAAGAUGUCCCCUACCCUUUCCUGUUGAUUCAGGUAUAGCAAGAUCACCACAUGCCCCGGUUUGAUCAAAAUUUGAGCUGCUUUGAUUACCUCAUGCCCCAAUCUGAUCAAAAUUUGAGCCGCUAUGAUCGACUCAUGCCCCAAUUUGAUCCAAAAUUUGAGUCGCCAUUUUCGGGUUUUUAACUCAAGCCCCUUUGGUCUCAAGGCGCCCUUUGUGGGUUUUCACCUUGGCCUCUCCUUUUCCUUUUUUCUUUUUCUUUUCUCUUUUUUUUUCUUUUUUUGAAUCUGAACUUAUAGGAUUAGGCAUGUCUUUGUUAUCUCUUCCGAUCAAGAUUGACAGUUUUCCAGAUAAAGCCUUCCACAUACGGUCCUUUCCAUCUUGCCAUGAAGUUCUUUUCGUAUGGAAAGGAUCUUCUUCAAUACCAGGUCCCUCUAAUGGAAUUCUCUAGGGAAAACUUUUUUGUGAGCUCGUUGCUUUCGGCGUAUUUGACCAUGAUGGACAACUUUGAACAUUCCUCUUCAAUCGGGAUUGGCGCCAAAAACUCAGACAGAAGAAAAUCUCAACCUCAAUAGGUGAAACCGCGAUAAGCCAAAAAGGAAGACGUUGCCCCAGCAGAGUUUUUUUUUUGGCGAUACAGACUGUAAACUUUUGACUGUUGUUCAAAUUUAAUGCAUAGUCAGAUAUGAUCCUUUUUUGGCAUUCUAUACUAACAUAUGAUUUUUCAAGAAUUUGCUGACUGUCGACUUUGUGAUGUUGGCAUAUGAGGCAGCUUCCACCCACGAAGAUAAACUGAUGACCGCCAGACUCUUUUGGCGAGAUCGACCAAAUGACUUUCAUGCCCCACAUAAGGAAAAGUCGUGGAUUCCAAUGAUUUUUUAUAGGGUAGGAUCUGUUUUUCAUCUUGUUCUACCAUCUUCAAUAAGUCCGGAGAUAGACUACAAUCUAUGUCAUCGUCAAAGUCAUGAGAUCCCUCUAAACACAUGUCUCGCUCAAAAGGAGAUUCUGGGUCUGUAGCAAUGUCAUUCAUGUCGUUGAUAUUCAGGGACCUAUUGUAGGUAUAAAAGAAUAUACAAAGAAUAUAUGAAGUUAUGAAUAAUUAUCUGUACAGUAUGAUUAUGAAAGAUUGAUUUGGAAGAAAAUCCAGAAGAAUGAAAGAAUAAAAAAUAAUUACUCGUAAAGAAUGAAAGAAUAUUGGCUCAAAAAUGAUCGUAAAGAUGCAUUUCAUUAAAAUAAUGAUGUUCAAACAUAAGCCUAUUUCGCAAAAGAGUUCUUAUUGCCUCUAGGCUAAAAGCAACAAGUGUAUUCUGAAUAUUACUCUGAGUAAGCUCUAAAUACUACAGGAGUUUCUUUUACAGUCUAAUUAUUCAGAACACUCUCAAGUUUAUAAAGGCGGAUAUCUAACAAGGUCCCUUCUUCAGUUGCUUCUACAUUACAUUCACUCCACUUAUCAAUUAUGAUUGGGUAAUGGAUUUUCCACACUGGAGGAAUCAUAAAAUUUAAUGACGCCCAUGUUUAUAGAAAAAGAUAAGGUGAGAGGUACAUGUAUGAAUGCUGAGAUUCAAGACAGGAUUUAAUUCGUUGUAGGCCCCCAAAGUGUUUUUGGGAUAUUUAUUGCC